AGGACGAACGCUGGCGGCGUGCUUAACACAUGCAAGUCGAGCGGAAAGGCCCUUCGGGGUACUCGAGCGGCGAACGGGUGAGUAACACGUGAGUAACCUGCCCCAGACUUUGGGAUAACCCUCGGAAACGGGGGCUAAUACCGAAUAUGACUUUGACCCGCAUGGGUUUUUGUGGAAAGUUUUUCGGUUUGGGAUGGACUCGCGGCCUAUCAGCUUGUUGGUGAGGUAAUGGCUCACCAAGGCGAGGACGGGUAG
rnacentral:rRNA from 1 species